rnacentral:lncRNA from 10 species
CGCCGGGCUUGGGGGUUCCCCCCGCCCCGGCCUCCUGCCAGUCACUACCACCCCUAGCCUCUCCAACUGAGCUCGGCGCCGGGAGAGGAUUAAGUAAGUGCUGAGGUCACUGCUCCUGUGCAAGAAGGGAGGCAUCACAGGGUCGCGGAGGCGGGCAUGGGGAUUGGGGCAGGGAGGACUGAGAGACCUGGUGGAGAACAGCAUGCGGGUUCUCGAAGGUCGCGGUGCCGACCCCUUUUACCCCGGUUUCCUUCCCUUCCCCUUUGGACCCUGAGGCAGGCCUGGAAAGUGGUCAGUAGGGCCUCUUCUCUCCUUUGGGAGGCGAUGUUAACAGAGCCCCAGGGCACGAGUUAAGGGUUUGGCCCAAGGUCACGCCCGGGAUCAGUUGCAAAGCCAAGAAAAGAACCCGGGACUUCCUAUGUGCCCAGAUGUGCCCAGCCUAGCUGGAGGGAGAAGGCAAAGAGGGAUGAGCCUUUCUACCCCAUAACCCUCUGCCAGCCUUGCCCCUUCCUCAGGGACCAUCAGAGGUGUUUACACAUCUCACACACGCCCAUGCAUCUGCACAGGGAGGCAACCCCACUAAUGCCCAUGAACCAGCACAGGGGGAUGUAUGCACCCACGAGCUAGGUAUCCCUCCUCUCCCUAGGCCGUCCCAUCUGCAGCUUGGCUGGCACCUCUUCCCACCCCACCUUAACCAGGGCCCUCUGCACUGGGCAAAUCUCUCACCCUCUGCUUCCAGGGGAGGAGGGUAAAGGAAGAGAAGGCACCCACACUGGGAGCUCCAUUCCUGCCUCGCCUUUCUCCUUGACCCUAGCAGCCCCUCUAUUGUUGGUGGGUGGGGAGGGCAGUCCAAUGUCCCCGAGAGCCUGCGGAGAAGCCCCGCCAGAGAACCAGAGCCUCUCUCUCCUUCUUGUCUUCUGGUCUUUCCACAUCAGCCUCCACCCACACUCCAAGCAUAGUCUGGACCAUACAGUGGACUGGGUCCAGGGGCUCCCUUGGCUCCCCUUUGUGACUGGGUUGGCCAUGGGGAGAAAAUCUAACAUGUAGUGGAUGCUUACUGUGGAUGGGGGUUGUGCUGAGCUAAGUCUUUCUUCGACACCUGUUUGUUCUGCCAUUUCUGUAACCCCAUGACCCUGUGGGGAUGUUCUCAAUAUCCCCACCUUAGACUCAGGAAAACGGAGACACAGAGAGGUGGAGUGACUUUCUAGGGAUCACUAGUUAAGCAGCUGAGCUAGGUUUCAAAGACAGGCCUGUCUGACUCUUGGGCAAGUGUUUCCCUCCAGGAAAGGAAAAAGCUGUGGUAUUUUUUCCCCCAAGCAGGAUGAGGGAUGUGGGAGGCAGGGAAUGAGGAGGUGGAUAUGGGGAGGUGGGGGAUAUGGGGACGCAGGUUGAGGGGAGUUUUUGAUCAGGGGAGGGAGACUUUUUCUUUCAAACAUCCCCGCUGCCUUUCAUAUCUUCCAGGUUUGAUCACUAUGAUCAUCUCACCCACAGACAGAGGAUGCAGGGCUUCAUUUUUGUUCCCAAAAACAGGGGCACCGUAGAUACGUAAACACCCAGGAAGGCAGGGGGCUCCCUUUAUCCAAGGAGGUGGCUGUGCAGGUGGCCACCACAGGUGGCAGGAACCACAGGCUGGGGCACUCCGGAGUCAGGAGUGAGUGGGCAGGUUGACUGGCAUCAGGCAGCCUCUCAGCCAGGGCCCUCUCCGCAUCAGCAUGAACUCCAGGACCGCAUCUGCUAGGGGCUGGUUCAGCAGCCGCCCACCCACCUCUGAGUCUGACCUGGAACCUGCCACAGAUGGGCCAGCCUCCGAGACCACUACCCUCAGCCCAGAGGCCACCACCUUUAAUGACACCAGAAUCCCUGAUGCAGCUGGUGGCACGGCCGGCGUGGGUACCAUGCUUCUGUCCUUUGGGAUCAUCACGGUGAUAGGCCUGGCUGUGGCCUUGGUGAGAGCUGGGGUAGGCUGGGGGAGGAUAAUCAGUGUUUAGAUUUAUAGAGAACCUAAUCAAUCAGAAGACAAUCUGGUUGUUGUUAUUGUUGUUUUUGAGACAGAGUCUUGCUCUGUCAUGCAGGCUGGAGUGCAAUGGCUUGAUCUCAGCUCACUGCAACCUCCACCUCUGGGGCUUAAUCGAGUCUCCUGCCUCAGCCUCCCAAGUAGCUGGGAUUACAGGUGUGAGCUGCCACGCCCGGCUAAUUUUUGUAUUUUUAGUAGAGAUGGGGUUUCGCUAUGUUAGCCAGGCUGGUCUUGAACUCCUGGCCUCAAGUGAUCUGCCCCCGUUGGCCUCCCAAAGUGCUGGGAUUACAGACAUGAGCCUCUGUGCCCGCCAACAAUCUAUUAAUGAGAGUGCAGUCCUCCUCUCCUGCAGAGAUUUGUCCACUGGGGCCCAGAGACCAGAGAGGCUACGCUUCCAACUGGAAACAACAGAAAAGGUUCUUGGGAAUACAUGGUGUCUUGAGCUGGGUCAUGAAGGCCACAUAGUAGUCAAGGAGUUCCAAGUGGAGAGUCCUGAUGGGCAAAAGUUUGGAGGCAGACAGAGGGUUCUGUGAGCAGCCAGCAGGACAGUUAGGGCAGUGGAUGUGGGGUUGCAAUAGAAGAAAAGGCUUAAAGGUGGUUGAUGUGGACCGUGGGCUGCAGAGUCUGGGUAAGAUGAUCUGUGCAUGGGAGGCUGUUGGCAGUGAACAUUCAUUUAUUCACUUGGCAAUUAUUUACUGAGUACCUGCCCUGGACCAGGCCUUUGGAACCCAAUAGAGGCUGGGAAGACAAGGUCCUGCCCUGUGGUUCUUACAGGGAGUGGGAAACAGAUAAAAACCAAGGGUUCCAAGGGAAGCCUGCAGGGACUGACUUGGGGACUCAAGCAGGAAAGCAGGAAUGCUUUCCAGACUAGGUGGUUAGGAACAGCUGAGGAGCAAAAUUAGAGCUGAGACCUCAAAGUGGAAGCCUGGCCUCCGUGUCAUGAGAAGGGGUGGAGGUGGCAGCCAUCAGGAAGGAAGGGGGCUGGGGAGAGGGCUGCAGGUAUCCUUCAGUAGUGAGUGUGAUGCCUCUUGAUCUGGUGUCAGUCCCUAAGGAUAUGGGCUGUCCCCCUAAGAUGAUACAUGGACACUCAGAAUGUCACUGAGGGACCACUGGAGAUCGUGCAGGCUGAGACUAGGGAGGAUGGGGUGCCCCUGAGGUUCCCCAGUAUGCCUGGCAAUGGUAGGAUUCUGCCCACUGCUCCUCGCAGGCUCUGAUGGCUGGCCUUGGGCUUAGGAGCAUGUUGCUCUGACAAGUAGGGCUGUGGAUGGCCCAUCAUGGCCUGGUUGGAGCUGCUGUUAAACCAGGGUUGCCAUAUGGGCCCCACAGGCUCCAGAUUGCUGCCAGGGAGCAACUGCCAGCCAGCAAGCAGGCCCAGGGUGCAGCACAGGCAGAAUGAGGCCAGGGCCUGAGAGGUCUCCUGGGUGGAGGUAAGGCAGGAUGCCAGUGUUUUCCCUUGGCACCCAUGCAGUGGGUAAGCAGAUGGAGGCACCCUUAAGGGCAGAAUGGGGCCUAGAAACUGCCCUCGUUACUUUCAGUGAAAGGUUUUGUCCUUGGAACUUGAGAACGCUCUCUUACUCUUUGUUCUAGAGGAACAUUCAGAAGGCCUGGGUGGAUGCCCCUCUUGCCAAAAUCAGAGGUAGGAAGCUCGUAGGACAAAGGCAGCGGAGGGCAGAAGAUAGCUCCUGGGGACCGGAGACAGGCCCAGAGGUGCUCACUGAGUGCUGCUUCCUCUCCCCGAUGCCAGCCUCAAGCAGGGCCGUGGGUACAAGGAGGAGCAAAUCUGCACCAGGCUUUCUGCCUUACCCAGGAAGGAAAAGUGCUUGGUACAG